rnacentral:rRNA from 1 species
CCUACGGGCGGCAGGAGUGAGGAAUAUUGGUCAAUGGGCGCGAGCCUGAACCAGCCAAGUAGCGUGAAGGAUGACUGCCCUACGGGUUGUAAACUUCUGUUAUAAAGGAAUAAAGUGAGGCACGUGUGCAUUUUUGUAUGUACGUUAUGAAUAAGGAUCGGCUAACUCCGUGCCAGCAGCCGCGGUAAUACGGAGGAUCCGAGCGUUAGCCGGAUUGAUUGGGUUUAAAGGGAGCGUAGUUGUGUUGUUAAGUCAGUUGGGAAAGUUUGCGGCUCAACCGUAAAAUUGCAAUUGAUACUGGCAGUCUUGCGUACAGUUGCGGUCGGCGGAAUUCGUUGUGUCGCGG